AGAUUGAACGCUAGCGGGAUGCUUUACACAUGCAAGUCGAACGGCAGCGCGGACUUCGGUCUGGCGGCGAGUGGCGAACGGGUGAGUAAUAUAUCGGAACGUGCCCCGUAGCGGGGGAUAACUACGCGAAAGCGUGGCUAAUACCGCAUACGCCCUACGGGGGGAAAGGGGGGGAUUCUUCGGAACCUCUCACUAUUGGAGCGGCCGAUAUCAGAUUAGCUAGUUGGUGAGGUAAAGGCUCACCAAGGCGACGAUCUGUAGCUGGUUUGAGAGGACGACCAGCCACACUGGGACUGAGACACGGCCCAGACUCCUAGGGAGCAGCAGUGGGAAUUUGGACAAGUGGGGAAACCUGAUCCAGCCAUCCCGCGUGUGCGAUGAAGGCCUUCGGGUUGUAAAGCUAACUUUUGGACAGGGAAGAACGGACGUGACCCUAACGACGGACGUCACUCGGACGUACCUGACA
rnacentral:rRNA from 1 species